CACGUAGGGCGCAAGCGUUGUCCGGAAUUAUUGGGCGUAAAGAGCUCGUAGGCGGUCUGUUGCGUCCGCUGUGAAAACUCGGGGCUUAACCCCGAGCCUGCAGUGGAUACGGGCAGACUAGAGGUAGGUAGGGGAGAAUGGAAUUCCCGGUGUAGCGGUGGAAUGCGCAGAUAUCAGGAGGAACACCGAUGGCGAAGGCAGGUCUCUGGGCAUUAACUGACGCUGAGGAGCGAAAGCAUGGGGAGCGAACAGG
rnacentral:rRNA from 1 species